rfam:Pseudomonas cichorii JBC1, complete genome.
CGUUAUGGCGGCUGUGCGUCGGAGACCUUCGGGUCUGCCGGUUCUCUGGAUACCGGUUCGCUAACCUUCGCACAGCUGCCACCCAU